UGCACCAAGAGCAACCUCACACGGUGU
rnacentral:piRNA from 1 species